UGGGAAGAGCCGCUUCACAGGCAGUGCUGCAUGGAGUACCAGGCAACUACCAACUGGGCUACACAGCUUUAUUUGAAGGAUUUCCUGAUACUUCAAUGAAUCCAUCUUGCCUUCCACACGCUGCAGGUUUCCAGUGCCAGAGGAUGCAAAGCAGCCCCAGAGCAUCACCGAGCCACCACCGUGCUUGAGUGUGGACAGUGUUCUUUCUUCAUUCUUCUUCCUCCAGGCAUACUGCUGAUCCAUCGUGCCGAAAAGUUCCAAUUUUGUUUCAUCACAAAACACAUCACAGAACAGAAUCACAAAACUUCUGUGGCUUACUGAUAUGAUUUUGGGACUAAUUUGCUUGUGCUUUUGGGUCAGUAGUGGUGUACGUCUUGGAGUUCUG
ensembl:lncRNA